UACAGAGGGGACUAGCGUUGUUCGGAUUUACUGGGCGUAAAGGGCGCGUAGGCGGCCACCGCAAGUCAAUUGUGAAAUCUCCGGGCUCAACCCGGAAAGGUCAACUGAUACUGCGGGGCUAGAGUGCAGAAGGGGCAACUGGAAUUCUCGGUGUAGCGGUGAAAUGCGUAGAUAUCGAGAGGAACACCUGCGGCGAAGGCGGGUUGCUGGGCUGACACUGACGCUGACAGCGCGAAAGCUAGGGGAGCGAACGGG
rnacentral:rRNA from 1 species